GACGAACGCUGGCGGCGUGCUUAACACAUGCAAGUCGAACGGAAAGGCCCGGCUCUUGUGGCGUGCUCGAGUGGCGAACGGGUGUGUAUCACGUGAGUAACCUGCCCUUUACUGUGGGAUAACUUAAGGGAACUGGGGCUAAUAUCGGAUAUGAGAUCCUGCUGCACGGUGGGGGUGGGAAAGAUGCGGCGUUUGGGGAUGGACUCGCGGCUUAUCAGCUUGUUGGUGGGGUGGUGGCUUACAAAGGCUUCGACGGGUAGCCGGCCUGAGAGGGUGACCGGCCACAUUGGGACUGAGAUGCGGCCCAGACUGCAACGGGAGGCAGCAGUGGGGAAUAGUGCACGAUGGGCGGAAGCCGGAUGCAGCAACGCCGGGUGCGGGAUGACGGCUUUCGGGGUGGAAACCGCGUUCGCGUGUGACGAAGAGUGAGUGACGGUAAUGGGUAAAGAAGCACCGGCUAACUACGUG
rnacentral:rRNA from 1 species